AUUGAACGCUGGCGGCAGGCCUAACACAUGCAAGUCGAGCGCGAAAGGUUCUUCGGGACUGAGUAGAGCGGCGGACGGGUGAGUAACGCGUAGGAAUCUACCCAGUGGUGGGGGACAACUUGGGGAAACUCAAGCUAAUACCGCAUACGCCCUACGGGGGAAAGCGGGGGACCUUCGGGCCUCGCGCCAUUGGAUGAGCCUAUGUCUGAUUAGCUUGUUGGUGGGGUAACGGCCUACCAAGGCUACGAUCAGUAGCUGGUCUGAGAGGACGAUCAGCUACACUGGGACUGAGACACGGCCCAGACUCCUACGGGAGGCAGCAGUGGGGAAUAUUGCACAAUGGGCGAAAGCCUGAUGCAGCAAUGCCGCGUGUGUGAAGAAGGCCUGCGGGUUGUAAAGCACUUUCAGUAGGGAGGAUUAUGACGUUACCUACAGAAGAAGCACCGGCUAACUCUGUG
rnacentral:rRNA from 1 species